GCUGGGCGUGGUGGUGGGCGCCUGUAAUCCCAGCUACUUGGGAGGCUGAGGCAGGAGAAUCGCUUGAACCUGGGAGGUGGAGGUUGCAGUGAGCCGAGAUCGCACCACUGCACUCCAGCCUGGGUGACAGAGCAAGACUCUGUCUCAA
rnacentral:SRP_RNA from 1 species